GGAUGCCCAGUUAAAUAUGAAUUUCAUAGAUAAAAUGAAUAAGUUUUUCAGUGUAUGUUCCAUGUAAUAUUUGGGAUAUACUUAUACUAAAAUAUUAUUAUUUAUCUGAAAUAUAAAUUUUA
rnacentral:miRNA from 1 species